GACAGAGGUGCCGAGCGUUAGGCGGAAUCACUGGGCGUAAAGCGUGCGCAGGCGGUUAUGCAAGUCAGAUGUGGAAUCCCCGGGCUCAACCUGGGAACUGCAUUUGUGACUGCAUGGCUAGAGUACGGUAGAGGGGGAUGGAAUUCCGCGUGUAGCAGUGAAAUGCGUAGAUAUCGGGAGGAACACCGAUGGCGAAGGCAGCACUCUGGGCCGGCACUGACGCUGAGGAGCGAAAGCGUGGGGAGCGAACAGG
rnacentral:rRNA from 1 species